GUUCUGUCUGAGAGGAUCUAUUUAGCUAUGUCAUGUACACAUGCGCCACUGCCAUAAAGGGCCGAGACUUUGUUUUGAACAUCGUUGAACUUUCAAUGUAGUUGGAAAGAUUUCCAAGAUCUGUUGACACACACACACAAGGAGAAGACUGAUACUGUUGAUGUGCAGAUGGGGGUGACAGGGUUGUGGGACUUGUUGGGUGGUGGGGAGGAGCUGGAGUUGACCGACUGCAGUGGGGAGACCUGGGCAGUGGACUUGACUGCUUGGAUGGUCCAUGCCCAUGCUGCAAGCUUUAAGGCAAAGGGUGUCAGUGGAGAAUAUGUCAUGAUGAUAACUGUUCUUCAUCGGGCUCUUGGCCUGAUGAAAUGUGGUAUUCGUCCAGUAUUUGUAAUGGAUGGACAGUUUGCCCCAGCUAUCAAAGAGGAUACGCUGCAGCAUCGUAGUCUGAAAAUGAAAGACUGCACUAAAGAAAACCCUACUGACAGGUCAUCCAUGAGUCAUGCAAAUAUCAAGUGUCAACGUUUGUUGGAAUCCCUAGGCCUGCCAGUAAUAGCAAGCAUGGGGGAAGCUGAGAAGACUUGUGCUUAUCUCAAUCAGAAAGGGAUCGUUGAUGCCUGUCUCUCUGAUGACAGUGAUGCCUUCUUAUACGGUGCAAAAACAAUCUACAGGCGCUUUAACUUGGACCAGAAGACUGCAGAAUGCUACAGAAUGUGCGACAUUGAGAGCAGCCUAAAUCUCCAGCGCUCUGAUUUGGUUGUGUUGGGGCUUCUCAGCGGCUGUGAUUACAGCAAAGGCGUAGAAGGCAUUGGAGCUAAGAAAGCAUACAAUCUCAUCUGUAGCAUGAAAGAAAACCAGCAAGCAGGACAGGAAGAUGUUCUUUCCAGAAUUGUUAACUGGAGAAGCAAUGAAGAACUUGAGAAGAUGGUUGAGAAACAGAGGCUGCUAAUGGAGCUCAAGAAGCCAGCACACUGCAGCAUCUGUCGCCACCAAGGUGACAAGCAGCAUCAUUUAAGCAGUGGAUGCAGCAUUUGUGGUACCAAAUUGUUAUGCUUGCCAGAGCCUCGCCGGGACUGUAGUUGUUUGUAUCACCAGCUGGUCAGUGAGGUAACUCCAUACAAACUAGAGCUUGACGCCAGGAGAAGAGCACUGAAGAAUGCUGAUUUUCCUGACAAAAAGCUGAUGGAGGAAUUUUUAAACGAAGACAGUGAGCUGGGCCAUGACUUUUGUGUUCAGUUGUCACUUCCCGACUGGGAGAGACUUGCUGAGGCAUUAGGACAGCACUUUAAUAUGAAUCAUGAACAAAUGAUGAAGAAGAUGAUACCAGUGCUGGCCCACAUGCACUUGCAUGAUACUCUGCCCUAUACCAACACUUCUCCUAAACAGAUUUUAAAGAGCUGUAUAAGGAAAAGGGUGCCCUGUUACCAGAUACACUGGCAACGGUUUGACUUUGACAAGUGGAGCCCAGUUCCCUCCCCACAGGUUGACCUUCAGCUAACCCCUAAAGCUGCAGACAGCAAGGCUGACCCAUACAUUAUUGAUGUGUCACGGACAGUGUUCAGUAAGAGAUACCCUGAAAUGGUCACUUUGUUUGACUCCACUCCGGUCAAGAGAAAAAGAGGGAGAAUACCAUUCACCCCAUCCUGUCGUGAGCAGAAAGAAGAGUCAACAGGUGCUAAGAAAAAGCUGAUCUUUAAUGAGGGGGAGAGUGUCAACUAAGCAUCAGAUUACCUGGAGCUCUAGUCUCCCAUGCAAAGGCAGCCAAAAUGACAUCAUAUUUUUCAUCCCCAAGCACAGGCAGCCAAACAUCCGACACUUGCAGUUCCCUUCAGCAGCAGCUUUUCUCUUGCAUCAUGAGAAAAUAGAAUUGGGCCACAGAUGGAAAAUAAUUUGAAAGUGAGAGUAGGCUGUUUAAAGUACAGCCAGGAUGACAUUUGCCAGAGACAAGAUUUGUACAAAAACAAUUUAUCACCUAAUUUACCCAACAUAUGAGCAAGUUUGUGCUGUGCAAUCUUCAAACAGAAUAUUAACUGUACUAUUACUAAUCCCAAUCGCAUGCCACGCGGAUCACAUGUUAAUAGUAUUAACAGUUGUAUUUGAUAUUAAAGCAUAUUUGACACUUGGUUGGUGGUGAUGGAUGCACCCAUCAUCACUUGCAUGAAGUGGGACUGAUUCCACUGCCAGCAAGGACUCAUGGAGAAACGGAAUACAUCAGUACUGAUAUUCUGCUGCCAACGACCUACAGUAAGUCUCUUGUGGUAGAGACCUAGAUCACAUUUGUUCCACUUGAUGUGUACAGGUUUUUUGGACUGCCUGCAUUAUUUUGUACUACAUGGUUUACAAUAAAGUGAAAAAUUACUCCAAAAUUGAAAACAUAUGCCAUUAAAUUGUUAAAUGAAUAACCAUUUUAAAUCCAGCAGCACAAUCUGUAGCAUACCCCAAGUGAAGGGGAAUGUUACUUAAAAUCAAGCAUGUACUGCAAGUGGCCAAAUGAUUUACUACAGUGUAUACUGCAAGUGGCAAAAUCAUUGACAACAUACUAGCUGUUGCAAGAUUGCUUACGCAACACUGUUUAUGGUAGAACUGUUGAAACUACAUGUUAUGUCAGUGUUCUGUGAAAGAGUAAUGAAGGUGAAGGUAAGAAAUAUGAGAUUUCUUUUUCCUGCCAUAUAUCAGGAGGGUGAAGGUGAAUAUGAACUCUGAUUUUUUAUCAGCAGUUGUAUUUUCAUAAGGCAACUGUAUCUUAAUCAAAUGGCAAUUGAACACAAAGUUUUUGGAGAAAAUCAAUUACUAAUUUUGAAGUUCAAUUUAUACUCAACACAUUUUUUUUAAAAAUGUGCCUGCAGGAGGAAGAACACAGCUAGAUGAGUUGCAGUUAGCAUUUUUUGCUUAUUCUAUGUGAAAAUGUAGAGGUCAUGUUCUUUCAUUUAGACAAUGGUGACAAGCUGUGUGGUGAGUGUUCAUUAGAUCUAGGUAGGCUUCUGAAUGGCUUUCUCUUAUUCUUUCAAGAUCUUUAUGAGUGUCAACACACAUGUACAAAAUGUUGUCAAAAUCAAUGUAAGUUCUCCCCAUCUGUUUUCUCUCACAAUCAGAAUAUCAGCUGCAUACUCGUAUCUGUAUUUUAUCUGACAGGGUUUUUUAUAACUCAGGUACUGUGUGUCCACAUCACAAAAUUUAGAGUAACUGCCAUUCUGCUGACACACUCCAAAAUCUUAAAGCUAUUUCGUCAUAGUUUCAAGACCUAAAGCACAUAUCUCAAAAUAUUGGCUUUUUAUUUUUUUUUGGUUUACUUUUUGAUACUUCGCUAUUUUUAAAUUCACAUACUUUAUAAGUUUUUGGAAAUUGUUGCAUACAGUGCAUUUGGCCUUGUCAUGAUACCCAUAGCGAUGUCACAGCCACUUCAGAUUGAUUGGUUGUUUACCUUUAGAGCUGUUCCAGUAAUACAGAUUGUAUAAUGGCAAGAAAUGAUCUAAUAGUAAUACAAUUCAAAGGAUAAAUAGCCACAAGGGGUUGAACUAAAUGACCUUCUAUAUUACUGGUUACUAGGAUAGUAGAGGCAUUAUUCUUGAUGCCUGUCUGCCAGCAUUCUGUCAUUGGCAAUAGUCUUCACUUUUAACAUUGUUGAUGUUCUAAGUUGAAUUUUCCUUCAUGAAAAGGUCAGCCAUUUACAUGCUGAACUUAAUACCAAUAACUCAGUCCAACUAUCCACCCAUCAUCGGAUACAUGCUAGGAUAUGAACCAAGAUGGUUCAACUGUAUGGCUUUUUUUUUCAGAAGUUGGGGACGGAAGGAUGUUAUUGACAGAAAUGCAUAGUUUGGCAUUUCAUUUGCUUACAUUCGUUGAUAGCUGAAAUUUAAAAAUGAUCACAAACCUUUCUGUUUUUACACUUUCAAUGGCAUUGGAAAAAGUGUCUGUAAUUUUAACAACCCUUGCAAACCCUGUACACAUUAUUGCUAGGCAAGGUUAUCAUUUAAAUUUCAUUAACACAUAUUCUAUUAGUUGAAAGUUAUUAUAGUUUAACUUUGGUAGCCCAUUGAAAACUUCAUUAGAGUUUUACUAGUGUGAUGGUAUUAUGGCUGUGGCUUUGAAGAGACAGUUUGACUACACUCUGGUCAGCAUGCAGUGGGUAGCAUUCUGAACAAGUGGCACAUCCUAAAAUUCUUUUCAAUCUCUUGUAAUCUUGCCCCAUCUAACUUGAGGUCUUGACACUAGACAAACAUCAUCAUUAUCCAUUGUAUAAACUUUUAAGUGAGCUUUGUUUAUUCUUCUCAACCUUAUCACCAGUCCCUGGCAUUACUGGAAAUAUCUGCAAAACUGUCCCUUUUAAAAUUAUGUAGGAUCUUGUUUAACUGAGAAUUUUCUUGUUUUCAAUGUAGACAUUUUCUGUGCUUUUCAAAAUGAUUUUACAAGACAUCUUUAAAAUACACCAUGUUAUGUACCUUUGACUUUUCACAAAAUGGAGUACGUGAUCAUGCCUUCAUUAAUGGUGGCUUGUGGAGUUUUAAAUGAUGACGUCAUCAUCGUUUUAAUGUUGUUUGUAGAAAUGAUCAUGUUUGUCAGUAUUCUUGUCUGUGAUAGCAUGUUUUAUUGUAAGGCUUGAUAAGGAGCUUCUUUGUGUGACAAAUGCACUCUAACUAUACUCCAUUUGGUUGAGUCAUUCAAAGCAUGUUUGCUACUUCUGAUGCUGAAAUACAUGCAGUUGAAAUUCAUUUAUUAACAAUCUGGCAUGAGCACACACACACAAACACACGUUCCCGUCUCAUUCCCCAAAUUUACUACUGGCAUGCUGGGGCAUUCACUAGUCCCCACUCUCUGCUAGUUGCAAGACACACUGGUCAUGUGUGGAUCCAUAAAGUGAUGCUUGUUCACAUGCUGCCGCACUUGUUCACUAUCUAUGUGUCAUUGACGCUGAAGAUGCACUUGCUGUGUAAUCAUGUUUGCAGUAGCGUAGUCCCUGAAGAUACAAAAAUCAGAAUGGUGAAGAAACAUAAGGACUUGUAGCAACAGGACAUUGUUGAAACAAAUGUGCUUAAUAAAAAUUACACCUGGUUACGGGGAAAAAAAAAACAAAAAGCAAUCCUCACUUCAUCUCUUAUGGUAAAUUUUAAUAUACUUUAAAAUUAUGACACGUCUAUUUUCAGGACUAUUUAAAAUAGGAAGUCUAAAGUUUUAAAUGAGUUGUCUUUUGUACAAAUUUUUUAAAAAAAUGAUAAGAAAAAAAAAACCCAACUGAUCUUGAAAGUUUUUUGGUCCACAACCAGAACUAUCAUUGUAAUCACUGUAAAUGCAUUAUAUAUCUGUUUGCUGUUGUACUGUUUGUCAGCACUUUGAGGAACACCAGCCAGCAUUGAUUAACAAUUGUGAGAGAUAAUAAAGCUUUUUCUGUAUUA
rnacentral:misc_RNA from 1 species